rnacentral:rRNA from 1 species
UACGGAGGGUGCAAGCGUUGUCCGGAAUCACUGGGCGUAAAGGGCGCGUAGGCGGCUCAUGAAGGCUGUGGUGAAAGUCCGGGGCUCAACCUCGGAUCGGCCGUGGCGACUCGUGGGCUGGAGCCCUGUAGAGGCGGGUGGAAUUCCGGGUGUAGCGGUGGAAUGCGUAGAGAUCCGGAAGAACACCAGUGGCGAAGGCGGCCCGCUGGGCAGUGGCUGACGCUGAGGCGCGACAGCGUGGGGAGCAAACAGG